rnacentral:rRNA from 1 species
GACGAACCGUGCGAACGUUGUUCGGAAUCACUGGGCUUAAAGGGCACGUAGGCGGGCGGCCGCGUCCGGGGUGAAAUCCCACGGCUCAACCGUGGAACGGCCUCGGAUACGGGCGGCCUCGAGGGGGGUAGGGGCAUCUGGAACUGUGAGUGGAGCGGUGAAAUGCGUUGAUAUUCACAGGAACUCCGGUGGCGAAGGCGAGGUGCUGGACCCCAUCUGACGCUGAGGCGCGAAAGCCAGGGGAGCGAACGGG